rnacentral:lncRNA from 1 species
UCAACUCAGGCUCAGGCUCAUUGGAUUCCACAAUAGCUGCACUAAACUCUAGCAUCGAUAUAGCAGCACCAACAUUCUGGAUUGCAUUCAUAGCCUACAACUCACCACUUGCCCUCCUUGACGAAUUGGAUGGAUGCAUAGAAAACCAACUUCUAUGGCUUGGAGAAGCUCAAUUCCAUGAGUGAUCCAUCUAUCUGUCUCACUGUUUCAGCGUAUGAAUGAUUCAUUUUGCUGCCCGCUCUGCCCAG